GGCACCGUAGCUCAGUGGUUAGAGCGGGCGUUUCAUAAGCGCUAGGUCAGUGGUUCAAUCCCACUCGGUGCCACUA
rnacentral:tRNA from 2 species